UACGGAGGUGGCAAGCGUUGCUCGGAAUCACUGGGCGUAAAGGGCGCGUAGGCGGGGAGGUAAGUCGGGUGUGAAAUCCCUCGGCCCAACUGAGGAACUGCGCCCGAGACUGCUUCUCUUGAGUCCCGGAGAGGAAGAUGGAAUUCCCGGUGUAGCGGUGAAAUGUGUAGAGAUCGGGAGGAACACCGGUGGCGAAGGCGGUCUUCUGGACGGUGACUGACGCUGAGGCGCGAAAGCGUGGGGAGCAAACAGG
rnacentral:rRNA from 1 species